GUGAGUGCGAGUGUGAGAGCGCGCGCUCGCUGCGCGGUCACAGCAGUCAGUCAGUACACAGUGCGCGGAGUUCAGUGUCAGUCAGUCAGUCUGUGUUAGGUAGUGUAGGCAGGCCGCCAGCCUAGCGAUGGAUGUGGACAGCAACAGAGCGUUCUGCGACAGCGGCAUCGUGGAGGACCGCUCGCUCGACUACAGCAGCGGACCGGACUCUACUUCGCCCACCUCCCUGUGUUUCACCCCCGUCAAGUGGAGCCGGGAGAUGUACGCCACCAGGAUCCCCAUAGCCACCUGGAGACUCGCCGAGCUCGAGUUCUUCUCCACCAGGAUACCGAUCGCGAAAUGGCGGCUCCGAGAGUUUUAUAUGGAAAAGAAGAACAAAAUGUACCGUGGCACAGCCACCUCCUUUGGCUUCAAGAAGCCUGUGAUAUCAGCCACCAACAACGCCAACAGCAACGCACCUCUUCACCACACCCCUGUCCCCGCAGCACCCGAGAAGCUCUCCGACUCUGUGGAGUCUCUGGUCAUCACUCCGACCGCCGCACGCUACGGCACUCCCCGGCUAGCAAGGCCUAGGAAAGACACUAACGGCACGAAUGGACGAACAAACCGUUUUGGUUUCCGAAGCCCCACUGCACUCUCCAACAAGGUUGCAGACUCACAAAACAAUAUAAACAGCACAAAAGCUAAUCUUAGGUUGGAUGGACUGGUGAGCCAACACCCUGCGGAGGAAGGAGCCAAGCAGACAUCCCAACUACCGCUGCCGAGGAGUCAUCUGCCUCGCUUGCAGCAGUUUCCUGUACGCCUCGCCACCCCCGCCAACUACCACCCUCGCACCGCCUCCGCUGAGAAGAGUGCAAAGACAGCCGCCAACCAUCACACAGCACGUCGCAGCCGCUCUGAGAACGGUGGUUCUUCUGCUUCCUCUGUGAAUGAUGCUGACUCGGGCGUUGGCAGCCAGAAGAGUGGAGGGGAAGCAGAGAUCAUAGAACAGUUGGAGUGUAGUCCAUCCGCACGGAAUAGGCUACGAGCUUCUCACAAAUCUCGUCCAAUGGAAAUGAUCUUCCCCAAUGGGCACGAAAAGAAGUUUGAGCUGAGAGAUCUGCGAGACUCGAUAGAGGUGACGGAGAUAAUGUCAUUAGAGCUGCCGCCGCUACCUCUGGCCAAGCGACUGCCAGUGUCUGGAGGACUGGUGCGGGAGAGGGCCAGGGCCUACAAUCGUCAGAUCAGUCGAGACAGUGGCAGCUCGGAGGAUGAUGAGGGCAUAGAGGACGGACCUGGAGAGGAAAAAGUGCACAGGGACCGAGUGCUGAGUGAGAAGGACGAGAAGGGGGUGUUAGGAGCUGGGGAGGAGGGAGCAGAGGGGGAGGGGGAGGACCUGUGGGGCCACGGGGAGGCGAUGGUGGGGGAGGAAGACAUGCCUUGUAGCCAGGACCUGGACUCUGACCAAGGCUGUCGUGCUAUGACUCCGCCACUGCGCUCCGUGCUGCUCUCUAUCGAGGACCACUCGUUCGCUGCUCUCGCUGCGAUGUCCACGUCCACCAUGCUGGAGGACGAGAGCUAUCCGGAGCUUCCGGACUUCCAAAACAGCCUCAGUCUCACGUGCACCUCCACCGUCACUUCCCCAAACUCUGUCCAGUCUCAGCCAGCGGAGAAAAAGAAUUCAGAAGACAGUCCCGGUAGCCCAGGGACUCCGACGCACACCUCCAACUCCCUCAGUUUCUCUUCCGAUAUCCGUGACCGAGACUUCAUCGAUGACGAGAUCUGUGACCAGCCUGGCCUUGUGUGCGACAAUCUUACAGCCAACUCCUCAGGCAAUACCUUAGUUCCUGAUGAUGCUUCGCCCAGGAUCAACAAACCAUUAAACGCGAUAGUCACCCUGACCGUGGACUGCGGGUCUGCGCGGCACAGUUCUGUCGGGACUCUGUCGCCAUGUGAGAGUAUCGCCUCCGAUGACCUCAUCAUGGACUUUGACCUCAGUGCUGUCGAUGAUGAUCACAGAUACUUUUACAGGCUGGACACCAGCAGCCUGGACCUGGCUCUGACAGAUGGUGAGGCGGAGGGGGAGGAGGGGGGAGACCUGACGCUACAGGAACGUUCCACACUGCUCUCCGCCAGGCCUGACGUGCUCGAAGGAACCUGGCUUAUGAAUGGGGUCCGAGCGACACGUCAGUUACGGCCUCGUGUUGGCAGCAGUGGCAGUGGAGCAGACUCGCCACGGUCUCUGGACACCCCUCGCCUGCGCUCAGGCUCUGCGCUCUCCAGCCCUCUGCGCUCGUCCAGACAAGGUACCAGCUCACCAGGUGAGGAUAUCAGUGAGGACUCUGGAAUUCGGGUGAAUCGUGGGACAUACCAGUCAAUGUACCAGGAUGUCAUCAACAUCAAGGCCCUACUGCUGCGGCUCAGUAGGGUUAUGCAGGAGAAUGAAGCAGAGAAUUCACACGAAAACAGCCAGAAAAACGGUUUCUACAACCCCAACUGUGACAGUGCGGCGGACAGGAAGAACGAGAUCGCCCAACAAGAGGUGAUAGCAGAUCUCCAGCGUCAGGUAACUACGCUAGUCGCUGCUGUUAGGUCAGGUGGUGUUCCUGCAGUCUCAGGUGGAGGAGAAGGAGAGGACGAUACGAACGCUGCAAGCGACACAACCGCCUGAGCCACGGGGUCAGGUGGAGACUUGCAAUGCUGCCACCCAGACGGAGAGAGUGAGGCCACUGUCUACAGGCCCGAUUUUGUCAACACAACCUGAUGCAUCCGGCGGUUCUUUUGUUAGUUUCAGGCUGGGCAAG
rnacentral:misc_RNA from 1 species